GGGGAUGUAUUGCUUUGACGUGAUACGUACUUUAACAUCUGCAGAUCAUCUUUGACCAAGAAAGAUGUAAAACAGGGUCAAAAACAUAAUUGCAGAUUCUAUAAUCUCAAACCGUGUUGCAGACUUAGUAACCAAGGUGAAAACCAACGUUGCUAGUUAUCUCGCAACUCCAUCAUACGUUAGCCUAGCUGCGUAAGACGUUCUGUAUACUUAGUCUCAUUGGCGUUUAGUAUACGAACGAGGUCAAAAUAGUCAAUGUGACGGCUCGCACUCGUUUGUCGGUGCUUGUUUAAGAAAAAUUAGACAAAGAUUGUAAGAGAAUGGUUUGUUUAUUAUCCAUUUUUACAAUAUCAAAAAUACACUAUUUCUGUAGAUGAUGUUACUUUGCUGUUACGGACGCGGGUUCGUUACCCGCCAUCUCCACAU
rnacentral:tmRNA from 1 species